rnacentral:rRNA from 1 species
AAACCGUUCAGGGGUAAACCCGAGGAACCCAAAAGAUCGAAGGGGGAGAUUCAUCGUCAGCGGUGCAGGCUGCUCGAUGAUUCGCGAUGUCGCGGGCUACGGCCCGACGUCACGCGGUCGUCGUGGCAUUGUCCGGUAACGUCGGCGUGCACUUCUCCCCUUGUAGAACGUCGCGACCCGUUGGGUGUCGUUCUAAGGCCCGGAUGGCUGCCUGUCUCGACGUUUCGGCGCAUCGAGACAGACCACCGGUCGCCAGUAACGGCUGCCCGGCGGUACACACACGGUAUAGAGCCGCAGCAAUUUUAUUGAUUGCGUCGGACCCGCCGCAAGCGAGGCCAGUGUCUCACCGGGAAUCGCGGACCCAGUGCCGUCCCCGGUCCUGGCCAGCUGUUGGUAGGCGGUGUUCUCCGACUGGCCGAUUUUACCGGUCGGCGACGCUACUGCUUUGGGUAAUCUCAGGACCCGUCUUGAAACACGGACCAAGGAGUCUAACAUGUACGCGAGUCAUUGGGACCGCAUACCUAAAGGCAAAAUGAAAGUGAAGGUCGACCUCGCGUCGACCGAGGGAGGAUGGAUCGCGUUACGAUGCGACCCCGCACUCCCGGGGCGUCUCGUUCUCAUUGCGAGAAGAGGCGCACCCAGAGCGUACACGUUGGGACCCGAAAGAUGGUGAACUAUGCCUGGUCAGGACGAAGUCAGGGGAAACCCUGAUGGAGGUCCGUAGCGAUUCUGACGUGCAAAUCGAUCGUCGGAACUGGGUAUAGGGGCGAAAGACUAAUC